UCUUUUUGCAACAAAGUAAAAAAAAUCAGAGAAAGAUAUCAUGCAGCUGAUGUUAAUUUCAAUUCUGGGAAGAUCUGGAGCACUACUACAGCAUUUCCGUAUCAGCUCUUUUCUAAGACCAAGUUUAAUAUACAUAUUUUUAUUGAUAACUCAACACAACCUCUUCAUUUUAUGCCAUGUGCUAAUGAUCUUGUCAAAGAUCUAAUUGCAGAAAUUCUGCAUUUUUGCACAAAUGACCAGCUACUCCCCAAAGAUCAUAUUCUAAGUGUAUGUGGCUCUGAAGA
rnacentral:lncRNA from 1 species